rnacentral:rRNA from 1 species
AGACCCGAAACCCGGUGAUCUAGCCAUGGGCAGGUUGAAGGUUGGGUAACACUAACUGGAGGACCGAACCGACUAAUGUUGAAAAAUUAGCGGAUGACCUGUGGCUGGGGGUGAAAGGCCAAUCAAACCGGGAGAUAGCUGGUUCUCCCCGAAAGCUAUUUAGGUAGCGCCUCGUGAAUUCAUCUCCGGGGGUAGAGCACUGUUUCGGCCAGGGGGCCAUCCCGGCUUACCAAUCCGAUGCAAACUGCGAAUACCGGAGAAUGUUAUCACGGGAGACACACGGCGGGUGCUAACGUCCGUCGUGAAGAGGGAAACAACCCAGACCGCCAGCUAAGGUCCCAAAGUCAUGGUUAAGUGGGAAACGAUGUGGGAAGGCCCAGACAGCCAGGAUGUUGGCUUAGAAGCAGCCAUCAUUUAAAGAAAGCGUAAUAGCUCACUGGUCGAGUCGGCCUGCGCGGAAGAUGUAACGGGGCUAAACCAUGCACCGAAGCUGCGGCAGCGAACGUAUCACCCAAGACAACUUUGCACAGUUGACGAUUGACGGAGCGAAGCGACGUCAAAGCGUUUUACAACGUCGAGUUGGCUUAGGGAUACGUUCGUUGGGUAGGGGAGCGUUCUGUAAGCCGUUGAAGGUGUGUCGUGAGGCAUGCUGGAGGUAUCAGAAGUGCGAAUGCUGACAUAAGUAACGAUAAAGCGGGUGAAAAGCCCGCUCGCCGGAAGACCAAGGGUUCCUGUCCAACGUUAAUCGGGGCAGGGUGAGUCGACCCCUAAGGCGAGGCCGAAAGGCGUAGUCGAUGGGAAACGGGUUAAUAUUCCCGUACUUGGUGUUACUGCGAAGGGGGGACGGAGAAGGCUAUGUUGGCCGGGCGACGGUUGUCCCGGUUUAAGCGUGUAGGCUGACUUUCCAGGCAAAUCCGGAGAGUCAAGGCUGAGGCGUGACGACGAGGCACCACGGUGCUGAAGCAACAAAUGCCCUGCUUCCAGGAAAAGCCUCUAAGCCUCAGGUAACAUCAAAUCGUACCCCAAACCGACACAGGUGGUCAGGUAGAGAAUACCAAGGCGCUUGAGAGAACUCGGGUGAAGGAACUAGGCAAAAUGGUGCCGUAACUUCGGGAGAAGGCACGCUGACACGUAGGUGAAGCGGUUUACCCGUGGAGCUGAAGUCAGUCGAAGAUACCAGCUGGCUGCAACUGUUUAUUAAAAACACAGCACUGUGCAAACACGAAAGUGGACGUAUACGGUGUGACGCCUGCCCGGUGCCGGAAGGUUAAUUGAUGGGGUCAGCGCAAGCGAAGCUCCUGAUCGAAGCCCCGGUAAACGGCGGCCGUAACUAUAACGGUCCUAAGGUAGCGAAAUUCCUUGUCGGGUAAGUUCCGACCUGCACGAAUGGCGUAAUGAUGGCCAGGCUGUCUCCACCCGGGACUCAGUGAAAUUGAACUCGCUGUGAAGAUGCAGUGUACCCGCGGCAAGACGGAAAGACCCCGUGAACCUUUACUAUAGCUUGACACUGAACACUGGUCCUUGAUGUGCAGGAUAGGUGGGAGGCUUUGAAGUGUGGACGCCAGUCUGCAUGGAGCCAUCCUUGAAAUACCACCCUUUAAUGGCUGGUGUUCUAACGUGGACCCGUAAUCCGGGUUGCGGACAGUGUCUGGUGGGUAGUUUGACUGGGGCGGUCUCCUCCUAAAGAGUAACGGAGGAGCACGAAGGUUGGCUAAUCCUGGUCGGACAUCAGGAGGUUAGUGCAAUGGCAUAAGCCAGCUUGACUGCGAGCGUGACGGCGCGAGCAGGUGCGAAAGCAGGUCAUAGUGAUCCGGUGGUUCUGAAUGGAAGGGCCAUCGCUCAACGGAUAAAAGGUACUCCGGGGAUAACAGGCUGAUACCGCCCAAGAGUUCAUAUCGACGGCGGUGUUUGGCACCUCGAUGUCGGCUCAUCACAUCCUGGGGCUGAAGUAGGUCCCAAGGGUAUGGCUGUUCGCCAUUUAAAGUGGUACGCGAGCUGGGUUUAGAACGUCGUGAGACAGUUCGGUCCCUAUCUGCCGUGGGCGCUGGAAGAUUGAGGGGGGCUGCUCCUAGUACGAGAGGACCGGAGUGGACGCAUCACUGGUGUUCGGGUUGUCAUGCCAAUGGCACUGCCCGGUAGCUACAUGCGGAAGAGAUAAGUGCUGAAAGCAUCUAAGCACGAAACUUGCCCCGAGAUGAAUCUUCCCUGAGCCUUUAAGGCUCCUGAAGGAACGUUGAAGACGACGACGUUGAUAGGCCGGGUGUGUAAGCGCAGCGAUGCGUUGAGCUAACCGGUACUAAUGAACCGUGAGGCUUAACCUUACAACGCCGAAG